GUGCUCACUUCAGCAGCACAUAUACUAAAAUUGGAAAGAUACAGAGAAGAUCAUGGCACCUGAGCAAGAAUGACACGCAAAUUCGUUAAGCGUUCCAUGUUUUU